rnacentral:piRNA from 1 species
UACGUGACUGUUCCUGGUAUUGAUUGCAUU